rnacentral:sRNA from 1 species
CAUCCUCGAUCUGCUGCGGGCAGAUGAAAUGGAUGUGGCUGUCGAAGCCGCCCGCGGUCAGGAUCUUGCCCUCGCCGGCGAUGGCUUCGGUGCCGGGGCCCACGAUGAUGUUCACCCCGGGCUGGAUGUCGGGGUUGCCGGCCUUGCCGAUGGCGGCGAUCCGGCCGUCUCGCAGGCCCACGUCAGCCUUGUAGAUGCCGGUGUGGUCGACGAUCAGCGCGUUGGUGAUGACGGUGUCCACGGCACCCUCGGCCCGGGUGGCCUGGGAUUGGCCCAUGCCGUCGCGGAUG